CCUACGGGUGGCAGCAGUGAGGAAUAUUGGUCAAUGGGCGCGAGCCUGAACCAGCCAAGUAGCGUGAAGGAUGACGGCCCUACGGGUUGUAAACUUCUUUUAUAAAGGAAUAAAGUGAGGCAAGUGUGCCUUUUUGUAUGUACGUUAUGAAUAAGGAACGGCUAACUCCGUGCCAGCAGCCGCGGUAAUACGGAGGAUACGAGUGUUAUCCGGAUUGAUUGGGGUUAAAGGGAGCGUAGAUGGGGUGUUAAGUCAGUUGUGAAAGUUUGCGGCUCAACCGUAAAAUUGCAAUUGAUAAUGGCAGUCUUGAGUACAGUUGAGGUAGGCGGAAUUCGUGGUGUAGCGGUGAAAUGCUUAGAUAUCACGAAGAACUCCGAUUGCGAAGGCAGCUUACUAAACUGCCACUGACAUUGAUGCUCGAAAGUGUGGGUAUCAAACAGGAUUAGAUACCCGUGUAGUC
rnacentral:rRNA from 1 species